UACGAAGGGGGCUAGCGUUGCUCGGAAUCAUUGGGCGUAAAGGGUGCGUAGGCGGCGCGGUAAGUCGGGUGUGAAAUCUCGGAGCUUAACUCCGAAACUGCAUUCGAUACUGCCGUGCUUGAGGACUGGAGAGGAGACUGGAAUUUACGGUGUAGCGGUGAAAUGCGUAGAUAUCGUAAGGAAGACCAGUGGCGAAGGCGGGUCUCUGGACAGUUCCUGACGCUGAGGCACGAAGGUCAGGGGAGCAAACGGG
rnacentral:rRNA from 1 species